GGGAUGGACGAGAGUGAGGUUUUCAAGAUAGUUCAAAAUUUAAACUCAUUAGUGUUAGAGUUAGGUUCAAGGUGACGGUAAGGGUAAGAGUAAGGGUAAGGGUAAGGGUAAGGGUAAGGGUAAGGGUAAGGGUAAGAGUAAGGGUAAGGGUAAGAGUAAGAGUAAGGGUAAGGGUAAGAGUAAGGGUAAGGGUAAGAGUAAGGGUAAGGGUAAGAGUAAGAGUAAGGGUAAGGGUAAGAGUAAGGGUAAGGGUAAGAGUAAGGGUAAGGGUAAGGGUAAGAGUAAGGGUAAGGGUAAGGGUAAGAGUAAGGGUAAGGGUAAGGGUAAGAGUAAGGGUAAGGGUAAGAGUAAGGGUAAGGGUAAGAGUAAGAGUAAGGGAAGGGUAAGGGUAAGGGUAAGAGUAAGGAUAAGGGUAAGGGUAAGAGUAAGGGUAAGGGUAAGAGUAAGAGUAAGGGUAAGAGUAAGGGUAAGGGUAAGAGUAAUGGUAAGGGUAAGAGUAAGGAUAAGGGUAAGGGUAAGGGUAAGGGUAAGAGUAAGGGUAAGAGUAAGGAUAAG